rnacentral:lncRNA from 1 species
GCCUGGUUUGCUCAGUGUGAUCACCUGAGGUCCGUUCUUUGGAAGUGACUGUGCAAUACUUCAUCCUGUCCUGCCACCAUCAGUCCUCAUCCUUUACCUCUGCAAGUUACACCGAAGUUCUUCAGGUGGUAGCUGAUGAGAGCAGUAACACAGGAAGUUGCCCAGCUGGGGAUGAAGACACAAGAGCCUACUGCAGAACCACAGCUUCUCAGACCUUUGUACGUGCACAAGCCCUCUGUCUCACCUCCAAUAGAAAGCCAUCCAUCCCCUGUGGGAAUAUUUCUCCCGGGGUAACAACUUUACUAGGAAACUCAGCUAAGAGGCACAUUAACUGUCCAGCAGCCUAUUGGGAAGAGUGGUAGAG